AGUGAACGCUGGCGGUAGGCCUAACACAUGCAAGUCGAACGGCAGCACAGUAAGAGCUUGCUCUUACGGGUGGCGAGUGGCGGACGGGUGACGAAUACAUCGUAAUCUACUUUUUCGUGGGGGAUAACGUAGGGAAACUUACGCUAAUACCGCAUACGAUCUACGGGUGAAAGCAGGGGAUCUUCGGACCUUGCGCGAUUGAAUGAGCCGAGGUCGGAUUAGCUAGUUGGCGGGGUAAAGGCCCACCAAGGCGAGGAUCCGUAGCUGGUCUGAGAGGAUGAUCAGCGACACUGGAACUGAGACGCGGUCCAGACUCCUACGGGAGGCAGCAGUGGGGAAUAUUGGACAAUGGGCGCAAGCCUGAUCCAGCCAUACCGCGUGGGUGAAGAAGGCCUUCGGGUUGUAAAGCCCUUUUGUUGGGAAAGAACAGCAGCAGGUUAAUACGCCGCUGUUCUGACGGUACCCAAAGAAUAAGCACCGGCUAACUUCGUG
rnacentral:rRNA from 1 species